ACCCAGGCCCGUAGGAGCCCCUCUGCCGCGCACGCCCUCGGGAGCUGGGGUCCCGCGCAUGCGCUGUCUGCGGGUCCCUGCGCGCGCCUGCACGGAUCCACCUGCCAGGGACCACCGUUGCUGGGGGCGCCCUGCCCACCCCAAACGGCCCUGCGUCGCGCCCGCCCCGAAGGUGGGAUCCUCCAGUCCCGCUGAGCCCACCCUUGAAGUUCCUCGUGCAGCCCCUCCUGGGACAGUGGCAGACUGAGGGCAGCAGCGGCGGGGACUGGCCCGGACCCGACAGGUCAUGGUCUCAGGGAAGCCGGCAGCGAGAGCCACUUCCUACACUGCAGACUGUGGGUCAGGUCUCACCGGGCUAUUCUGGCCGUUUGCCUGGAGGGCCCCAAAGUGCCAUCUCCUCCAUUCUGGGCACCUGGCUGGACCAGUACUCGGAGGACUUCUGUCAGCCCCCAGACUUUCCCUGCCUCAAGCAGCUGGUGGCCUAUGUGCAGCUCAACAUGCCCGGUUCAGACCCAGAGCACC